rnacentral:snoRNA from 10 species
UAGCAGGAUAAGUUACAGAGCAGCUUGUGUAGUGUUGUGCUGUCGUUCCCCCUGCAUAAAGCAAAUUGUUACCAUCUAUUCUUGCUUGUCUACAUCCCCUGAUGAGCAGGGACGCUUGGUUUCAAACAG